rnacentral:rRNA from 1 species
UACGGGGGGGGCAAGCGUUGUUCGGAAUUACUGGGCGUAAAGGGUUUGUAGGUGGCCCGCUAAGCCACACGUGAAAUCCCUCAGCUUAACUGGGGAACUGCGUGUGAGACUGGCAGGCUCGAGGGCAGGAGAGGAACGCGGAAUUCCAGGUGUAGCGGUGAAAUGCGUAGAUAUCUGGAGGAACACCGGUGGCGAAGGCGGCUUCCUGGACCGACACUGACGCUGAGGCGCGAAAGCUAGGGGAGCAAACGGG